rnacentral:rRNA from 1 species
AACGAACGCUGGCGGCAUGCCUAACACAUGCAAGUCGAACGAGACCUUCGGGUCUAGUGGCGCAUGGGUGCGUAACGCGUGGGAACCUGCCCUUAGGUUCGGAAUAACUCCCCGAAAGGGGUGCUAAUACCGGAUAAUGUCUUCGGACCAAAGAUUUAUCGCCUUUGGAUGGGCCCGCGUUGGAUUAGCUAGUUGGUAGGGUAAAAGCCUACCAAGGCGACGAUCCAUAGCUGGACUGAGAGGAUGAUCAGCCACACUGGGACUGAGACACGGCCCAGACUCCUACGGGAGGCAGCAGUGGGGAAUAUUGGACAAUGGGCGAAAGCCUGAUCCAGCAAUGCCGCGUGAGUGAUGAAGGCCUUAGGGUUGUAAAGCUCUUUUACCCGGGAUGAUAAUGACAGUACCGGGAGAAUAAGCUCCGGCUAACUCCGUG